UUUCCUUUUAUUGAACCUCACCAUUUCUGGCAUCUCAACUUUCCCUACACUGUACUUCCAAUUGAGCCUGUCUUCUUUAGCCAGCAAGAGAACUAUCGGAAUCACUCUCAGCUGCUCAAGCCAGCAUCACUAGUUCCAGAAUCGUUGGAAGUUCAGCCUAGAGUUAACAUCUGCCACCAAUCCUCUUUUUGCUGAAGAAGACUGGCCCUGAGCUAACAUGCAUGACCAUCUUCCUCUACUUUAUAUGUGAGAUGUGCCACAGCAUAGCUUGACAAGUGGUGUGUAGGUCUGCACCCAGGAUCCGAAUUGGCGAAUGCUGGGCUGCUGCAGCGGACCACGCGAACUUAACCACUGUGCCACCAGGCCAGCCUUGUCAUUUAUUUUUUCAUUGUUUUUUCAAUAUUUUAUUAUGAGAAUUUGUAAACAUACAGCGAAGUUGAAGUUUUAUGUUUUUAUGAUAAUAUUUUACAUACAUCCCCAGCAUAGAUUCUACAAUUGAUCUUUUACUGCAUUUACUUUAUCACAGACCUGUCUAUUCAUUCAGCCAUUUGUCACAUCAAUCCAUCUUUUAGGUGUGUGUAUUUCUGCCAGAUAUUUUAGAUUCUGACAAUUUUGCCCCAUAGCAUAAGAGGAAAUAAAACCAGAUUUGCUGCAAAGAAACAAAGAAAGAGAAUCAUGCUGGAUUUUAAAAUUCAAGUCUUAUAGAUGUGUGGGGAAGGGGCACAUUUAAGAAAAUAAUGGAGGGUAAAAAAAUUAGCUAGCAACUUAGGAACUAGAGGAAGUCCUUUGACAUUAUGAAGUGUGUCAAAAAGAUCACUGCAUUCCCAAAGAUUGCCAAACAAUUGCACGGAAAGAAGCUAAAGGUAAAGGAACUAUGGCCCAAGGAAUGCACGAUUUCAGGGAUCUGAAGAGAAUGGAAGAGCGUCUGCCAGUUUUGGAUGCCAGGAGCAUGUCUCCAAAAGGAUAGUAUCAGAAGAACCUGGAACUGUGUGCCCAUUUCCAGGAACGUCUCCCAAGCACAGAACAGGGAAUGCUGCGAUACCACAUUUUAAUCGUCUAUUCCCCUAAUGCAAAGAAUGAGGCAACAAAUGUCCCUUAACAUUUCUCUUUGUCUGUGAGUGUGAGCUUCUCCAAGAGAGUGGUCUUUGUGCUAGUUCUCUAGGGCUCCUGUAAGAAAGUACCACAGGCCGGAUGGCUGAAACAACUCGAAUUUAUUUCUCCCAGUUCUGGAGGCUAGAAUUUUGAGAUCAAGGUGUUGGCAGGGAUGGUUCCUUCUGAGGAUUGUGAGGGAGAGUCUGUUCCAGGCUUCCCUUGGCUUGUAGAUAGCUGUCUUCUCAUUGUGUCUCUACAUUGUCUUUCCUCUGUCUCUGUGUCCAAAUUUCCCUUUUUAUAAGAACACCAAAUGUAUUGGAUUAGGGCCCACCCUAAUGACCUUAUUUUAACUUGAUUACAUCCGGAAAGGGCCUAUCUCCAAAUUCAGUCACAUUCUGAGGUACUGGGGUUGAGACUUCAAUGCGUGAAUGUUGGAGCAGACAAAAUACAACCCGUAGUCUUCAAAUUUAUUUCUUGCAUAACCCGAAAAAGAAUUUGGAAAAACUGUGUACCCUUCACACAGUUUAAUAUUGACACUUAACAAUUUAAAUCAUAGAUUUAAACAGUUCCAAAGGAUAAAAUUUUUGUCGUGUAAAUAUUGAUGUCAAAAUUUGGCGUCAAAAUAAAACGGUUACUCUUUUAAGGGUGUCCAAAGGAAUCUAAAUACCAUAACAAUUUGAUUCAAUAAUUAUAAUCUAUUUAAAAAUGCCUGCGUAAUUUCCAAUGGAAAUUUUAUAUCUUUCCUUUUUUUGCUUUCCAUUCCAAUUCUCCCACAGAAUUUUACCUUCAUGUAACAUAUUUUAAUACCAGAAAGUCUCUUUUUUGACCACCCCAUUAUGCUUCUCUUUGACAAAACUGUGCAUGGAAAUUGAAAUUUUGAAAUAUGUUUUAUUUCUUGGGAUCAUAAGGUUGUAAGUGUUAUUUAAACUUCCUUCUAGGUUGAGUUGUUGCCAUUGUUAUUGUUAAAUGAUGAUCAAGACAAUGAAACUACUUUAUAAAAUUAUUAUUUUGUAAUUUAUUAAACAGAAAAAAUAAGAUUUUAUUGAAAAUGUUUCUCUUGCAAUGAUACAAAUGAUGUCCCUCCCUCCAAUUAGCUCACGUAUCCAUUGACGAAUGACUUAAUGUUAGAACCGUGCAGAUUCUGUGUGAAGUUUAUCCCUGCCCUCACCCCUUUAUAGAAGUAACUGCUGAGAAAACUUAUUCAUAGUAAUAAAUAAAUGGGAAUGAAAGGUGUUUAUUAUAGCAAUUUCAUCCAAUUCUUUGAGUUCUACCCAAAUUCUAUGCCAAAUAUCACCUGGAAAUUUAUUAUAAAAAUUAUUUUUAGUACUCUCUCUGCUAAAAAUUCUAUUAAAUUCUUCUUUUAGUGAAAGUUGAAAACCACCCAACACACAAAAGACCUGUUACCCAGUUAUGAGAGUGACUCAGAGCCUCAAGUUCUGGGAGGCACACCUGACUUACCAAACAGCUCUUAGUUCCCUGUGUUGCUCUUUCACUAAAGCACCUUGUUUAGAACAGGUUUCUGAACUCAGGAGCAAUGUUCUGAAGGAAGAUGUGGGAUGAUGUGGAAAGGGCACAGGCAGGCUCUUAGGUCAGCCUGGUAAAACUCUCCGUGCUCGCGGACCCUUUGCAUAGCCCUGGUGUGAAGACCGUCAGAUUCUUGGACAUUCACGUGUUCAAUUUUAAUGCAUGCUGCCAAAUUGCCCUUCAAGGUUUUCGUGCCAAUGUACACCUCCAGCACCUGUGUACCUGUGUAUGAGCAUUCCCGUCACUCUAGACACUUGCCAACGUUUGCUAUCACCUGACUUUGAAGUUUUUGCCUACUUGGCAGAUGAGAAAUGUCAUUUCACAGAUUUUACUUUACAUUUUCCAAGUUAUUAAUGAGUUUGGGCUUAUAUGGUUGAUGGCUAUUUGAAUUUCUACUGCAGUGAAUUGCCUUUUAUUUCUUUUCCUUGUGUUUUUUGUUUUUGUUUUAAGAAGAUUAGCCCUAAGCUAACAUCUGCUGCCAAAUGCUAAUCCUCCUCUUUUUGCUGAGGAAUGUUGGCCCUGAGCUAACAUCCAUGCCCAUCUUCCUCUAUUUUAUAUGUAGGACUCCUGCCAGCGCAUGGCUUGAUGAGCGGUGCGUAGGUCCAUGCUCAGGAUCCGAACUGGCGAACUCCAGGCCACCGAAGUGGAAUGUGUGAACUUAACCACUAUGCCACUGGGCUGGCCCCUCUUUUCCUCAUUUUUUCAUGUCAUUUUUUAAAAUUUAAUUUUGAUGUUUUUAUUUGCUACUCCUUCGUCUGUUUUCUA
ensembl:lncRNA